GAUGCCCUCCAGAUGUUUUGGGCUACAACUCCCAUCAGCUCAGCUGGCCAGGGCUGAUGGGAGUUGCAGUCCAAAACAUCUGGAGGGCAUC
rnacentral:miRNA from 1 species